rnacentral:rRNA from 1 species
AUUGAACGCUGGCGGCAUGCUUUACACAUGCAAGUCGAACGGCAGCGCGGGCUUCGGCCUGGCGGCGAGUGGCGAACGGGUGAGUAAUAUAUCGGAACGUACCCAAGAGUGGGGGAUAACGUAGCGAAAGUUACGCUAAUACCGCAUACGAUCUAAGGAUGAAAGCAGGGGAUCGCAAGACCUUGUGCUCCUGGAGCGGCCGAUAUCUGAUUAGCUAGUUGGUGAGGUAAAGGCUCACCAAGGCAACGAUCAGUAGCUGGUCUGAGAGGACGACCAGCCACACUGGAACUGAGACACGGUCCAGACUCCUACGGGAGGCAGCAGUGGGGAAUUUUGGACAAUGGGGGGCAACCCUGAUCCAGCAAUGCCGCGUGAGUGAAGAAGGCC